rnacentral:rRNA from 1 species
UACGAGGGGGGCAAAUGUUGUUCGGAAUUACUGGGCGUAAAGGGAGCGUAGGCGGGUUUCUAAGUCAGGUGUUUAAUCCCGGGGCCCAACCCCGGACAGGCACUUGAAACUGGAAAUCUUGAAUAGUGGAGAGGUCAGUGGAAUUGGGGGUGUAGCGGUGGAAUGCGUAGGAGAUCCCCAAGAACACCAGUUGCGAAGGCGGCUGACUGGACACAUAUUGACGCUGAGGCUCGAAAGCAUGGGGAGCAAACAGG